UACGUAGGGCGCAAGCGUUAUCCGGAAUUAUUGGGCGUAAAGAGCGUGUAGGCGGCCAAACAGGUCCGUUGUGAAAACUGGAGGCUCAACCUCCAGACGUCGACGGAAACCGUGUGGCUAGAGUCCGGAAGAGGAGAGUGGAAUUCCUGGUGUAGCGGUGAAAUGCGCAGAUAUCAGGAAGAACACCAAUGGCGAAGGCAGCUCUCUGGGACGGUACUGACGUUGAGACGCGAAAGCGUGGGGAGCGAACAGG
rnacentral:rRNA from 1 species